rnacentral:rRNA from 1 species
CCAGAGCCUGAAUCAGCAUGUGUGUUAGUGGAAGCGUCUGGAAAGUCGCGCGAUACAGGGUGACAGCCCCGUACACAAAAGCGCAUGUGUUGUGAGCUCGAUGAGUAGGGCGGGACACGUGGUAUCCUGUCUGAAUAUGGGGGGACCAUCCUCCAAGGCUAAAUACUCCUGACUGACCGAUAGUGAACCAGUACCGUGAGGGAAAGGCGAAAAGAACCCCGGCGAGGGGAGUGAAAAAGAACCUGAAACCGUGUACGUACAAGCAGUGGGAGCACAGGUUUACCUGUGUGACUGCGUACCUUUUGUAUAAUGGGUCAGCGACUUAUAUUCUGUAGCAAGGUUAACCGUAUAGGGGAGCCGGAGGGAAACCGAGUCUUAAUUGGGCGUUAAGUUGCAGGGUAUAGACCCGAAACCCGGUGAUCUAGCCAUGGGCAGGUUGAAGGUUGGGUAACACUAACUGGAGGACCGAACCGACUAAUGUUGAAAAAUUAGCGGAUGACCUGUGGCUGGGGGUGAAAGGCCAAUCAAACCGGGAGAUAGCUGGUUCUCCCCGAAAGCUAUUUAGGUAGCGCCUCGUGAAUUCAUCUCCGGGGGUAGAGCACUGUUUCGGCUAGGGGGCCAUCCCGGCUUACCAACCCGAUGCAAACUGCGAAUACCGGAGAAUGUUAUCACGGGAGACACACGGCGGGUGCUAACGUCCGUCGUGAAGAGGGAAACAACCCAGACCGCCAGCUAAGGUCCCAAAGUCAUGGUUAAGUGGGAAACGAUGUGGGAAGGCCCAGACAGCCAGGAUGUUGGCUUAGAAGCAGCCAUCAUUUAAAGAAAGCGUAAUAGCUCACUGGUCGAGUCGGCCUGCGCGGAAGAUGUAACGGGGCUAAACCAUGCACCGAAGCUGCGGCAGCGACACUGUGUGUUGUUGGGUAGGGGAGCGUUCUGUAAGCCUGUGAAGGUGUGUCGUGAGGC